AAAUUGAUGGCCAUAACGGUCAGGGCGAACUGUUGCCUGAAGAAAGGUAA
rnacentral:ncRNA from 1 species